rnacentral:lncRNA from 1 species
AGAAACCUCAGAGUAAACAGGGACACCCAGGAGAGAAUUCAGUGGGGAAAGGAAGCUUGGGCAGAGUGCUAAGAGAUGGCCAGCAGAAGAGCCACCCAGAGAGGAGGAGAGCUAAGGAGGAGCAACCAAGAAGGUAGGAAGAACACCAGGGGUACAGGCUUGAAGGCCAUAGACAGAGGUGACUCUAGAGGCAAAGAGGGGUCAGCAGCACUGGGAAGUAAUCCCCACCAGGACGGCACGGCCCUGCUGUACCCUUGGCCUCCAAAAUGUACUCCCCCCAUCAAAAACCACAGGCAACCUAGAAUUUAAUAUAUGUUUAUUUGUGUAGUAGGAACACUCAGGUAUAUAAAUAAGGUAAAUACUUUUCAAUGUACAGUAUAUCAUGUUCGUACACUUUGUUCAAAAAGAACCUACAUGUAUUGUUCAACACUAAUCAGAAGUGCACAGAGAAAGAUCAGCUGUGGCAAAAACACUGAUUUAGUGAAACAUCAAGGUGGGUAAAGGGCACAGUAGGAGCGCACAAGCACAUGCCUAUCUGGGAGACCAAAGAACUCCUAUCGGGCUCCACGCACCCAAGAGCUGCUUUCAGGCUGCAGUGUCUGAGGACAUGAACACUGUCAACACCUAGCCUAUCCAGUGCAAGACAACUCAAUGCCACCCAGGUCCCUCUAUACAAAGGGGGAAGCAAAUAUCUGCCCUGGAGGUGCUCCACCCUGCCUCUAUCAUUUUGACCUACCCCUCCUGUUUUGGAAGGUAUUAAGUAUCAAUAAAUAUUAAAAUUUGGUAUCAGUAUCAGUGCUAGAUAAUUCAUGAGCUUCAAAUCACCAUGGAUGGGUUUUCUGAGUUGUUUCCUGGUCCCCACACCCACAAGCCACCGGGGCCUAUCAGUACUCAGCUGGCCUCUGUUAAGAGUCUGUCCUCCGUGCAAAACUCCAGGCCCCUGCUCUGUGUACAGAGGAUUUCAAAGGAACCCACACACAAAGGACACUCAAAAUGCUUGCAUGUUAUGCCCACUUUCGUUCUUAACCUCUUUUGUAUACUGGUGUUCUUCCGAGAAAACCCAGCAGAACCUGUGCAUGAACCUAAUGGAGGUGAGAAGGUGUUCCAGUACUGAGGAACGAGAUGGCUGUGUGGCUCACACCAGCAAACACAAUUUUACUUGGAGAAAAGGGAAGUCAUCUAGGUGCUGA